AUUGAACGCUGGCGGCAGGCCUUACACAUGCAAGUCGAACGAGUGGCGGACGGGUGAGUAAUGUCUGGGAACCUGCCUAUUGGAGGGGGAUAACUACUGGAAAAGGUAGCUAAUACCGCCUACCAUUGGAUGUCCCCAUAUGUGAUUAACUAGUAGGCGGGGUAAAGGCUGACCUAGGCGACGAUCCUUAGCUGGUCUGAGAGGAUGACCAGCCACACGGGGACUGAGACACGGUCCAGACUCCUACGGGAGGCAGCAGUGGGGAAUAUUGCACAAUGGGCGCUAUCCUGAUGCAGCGAUCCCGCGUGUAUGAAGAAGGCCUUCGAGUUGUAAAGUACUUUCAGCGGAGAGGCGUUACCCGCAGAAGAAGCACCGGCGAACUCCGUGCCAGCAGCCGCGGUAAUUC
rnacentral:rRNA from 1 species